rnacentral:rRNA from 1 species
GACGAACGCUGGCGGCAUGCCUAAUACAUGCAAGUCGAGCGAACAGAUGAAGUGCUUGCACUUCUGACGUUAGCGGCGAACGGGUGAGUAACACGUAAGGAAUCUACCUAUAAGCGGGGGAUAACAUUCGGAAACGGGUGCUAUUACCGCAUAAUAUCUUCUUCCGCAUGGAAGGAGAUUGAAAGACGGCUCUGCUGUCACUUAUAGAUGACCUUGCGGUGCAUUAGUUAGUUGGUGGGGUAACGGCCUACCAAGACGAUGAUGCAUAGCCGACCUGGGAGGGUGAUCGGCCACAUUGGGACUGGGACACGGCCCAAACUCCUACGGGAGGCAGCAGUAGGGAAUCUUCCGCAAUGGGCGAAAGCCUGACGGAGCAAUGCCGCGUGAGUGAAGAAGGCCUUCGGGUCGUAAAACUCUGUUAUAAGAGAAGAACAAAUUGUAGAGUAACUGCUACAGUCUUGACGGUAUCUUAUCAGAAAGCCACGGCUAACUACGUGCCAGCCGCCGCCGUAA